rnacentral:rRNA from 1 species
GCCUACGGGGGGCAGCAGUGAGGAAUAUUGGUCAAUGGUCGGGAGACUGAACCAGCCAAGCCGCGUGAGGGAUGAAGGUACAGAGUAUCGUAAACCUCUUUUGUCAGGGAACAAAGGCGGGGACGUGUCCCCGGAUGAGUGUACCUGAAGAAAAAGCAUCGGCUAACUCCGUGCCAGCAGCCGCGGUAAUACGGAGGAUGCGAGCGUUAUCCGGAUUUAUUGGGUUUAAAGGGUGCGCAGGCGGUCUGUUAAGUCAGCGGUCAAAGCCCAGGGCUCAACCCCGGCCCGCCGCUGAAACUGGCAGU